AAGUCGUAACAAGGUUUCCGUAGGUGAACCUGCGGAAGGAUCAUUAUUGAAUUAAACUUGAAACGGGUUGUUGCUGGCUCUCCUCCUUGGGGUUGCAUGUGCACGCUUGUUUUUUUCUUUAUUUCUCCAACUGUGCACGAAUUGUAGACCUGGUCUAUGUUUUUCACAAUCUCUGAAUGUAUUAGAAUGGCUGGGAACAAAAAAUAUACAUACAACUUUCAGCAACGGAUCUCUUGGCUCUCGCAUCGAUGAAGAACGCAGCGAAAUGCGAUAAGUAAUGUGAAUUGCAGAAUUCAGUGAAUCAUCGAAUCUUUGAACGCAUCUUGCGCUCCUUGGUAUUCUGAGGAGCAUGCCUGUUUGAGUGUCAUUUAAAACUUCUCAACUGCUUCUGAGCAGCUUGGAAAUGGGGGGUGUGCAGGCUAAGUGUAGUCUGCUCCCCUGAAAUGUAUUAGUGGUGUCUGGGCGGACUAACCACAGGUGUGAUAAAUUAUCAAUGCCUUGGUUAAUUUUGCUGCUGCUUCCAACCCUUAUAAAUGACCAACUUGACCUCAAAUCAGGUAGGAUUACCCGCUGAACUUAAGCAUAUCAAUAAGCGGAGGAAAAAGAAACUAACAAGGAUUCCCCUAGUAACUGCGAGUGAAGCGGGAAGAGCUCAAAUUUGAAAUCUGAUGGUUGUUGACCGUCCGAGUUGUAAUCUAGAGAA
rnacentral:misc_RNA from 1 species